rnacentral:rRNA from 1 species
AUUGAACGCUGGCGGCAUGCCUAACACAUGCAAGUCGAACGGCAGCACGGCAGUAGCAAUACUGUGGGUGGCGAGUGGCGGACGGGUGAGGAAUACGUCGGAAUCUGCCCAGUCGUGGGGGAUAACUAGCCGAAAGGUUAGCUAAUACCGCAUACGACCGAGAGGUGAAAGCGGGGGACCGCAAGGCCUCGCGCGAUUGGAUGAGCCGACGUCGGAUUAGCUAGUUGGUGGGUAAAGGCCCACCAAGGCGACGAUCCGUAGCUGGUCUGAGAGGAUGAUCAGCCACACUGGAACUGAGACACGGUCCAGACUCCUACGGGAGGCAGCAGUGGGGAAUAUUGCGCAAUGGGCGAAAGCCUGACGCAGCCACGCCGCGUGAGCGAUGAAGGUCUUCGGAUCGUAAAGCUCUGUGGGGGGAGAAGAAGAAAGCCGGUGAAGAGCCGGCCCUGACGGUACCGGAAUAAGAAGCACCGGCUAACUACGUGCCAG